AGUGGUCUCCAAUCCACUUGGCAUUCACGUGCAUUCAAACUGCACGAGAGUUCACUUCAACUAAACUGAGGACCGAUGGUUUGUAUGGGACCAGAAUUCGCUUAUUUUUGAUCUGCAUCAGAGUUCGAUUAUGUAAACGAACUGGAGUUGGAUUAAAGCGGACUAAACAGGGCUGGUGUGAAUGCACACCAAGUUAAUAAUGAGUGGAGGGUGUGUGGUCCAAAAAUUGGGACAAACGGGAAUCCAUCAGUUAAAGAUCAACGUAGCACCAUGUCUAAUAGCAUGAAUAUUAAGACCGUUCCCUAACAGAGGCCAAGAAUGCAGACUGGCAAUUAGAUAAAAUACAACAGGAUAUAAUGAGGAAAUUAAGUUAGUGUAAGUGGAUUACUUCAGGAAUAACUUAGUGUGCAAGUUGAAAUGGAUGUAGCAUAUUUAAACAUGUAUAAAUAUUGAAAAGAGAGAAGGAAAAGAAGGUUUGAGUCUAAGGUGAUUUGUAAAUCACUCCAAAUUAACAAGCUAAGCUGAACAGGGCAUGUGCAGAAAGACAGAGAAGAGAGGCUAGACUACCCUCCCAACACUCAUCUCAGUGUAGGAGUGUGUCCUGGGGGAGCCUGCGAUGUUAAUACAGUUAUUAAGCCUCUCCACUGAAGUCCGCUCCACCUCUUCAACCCUCAGCAUCAAGGAAUUCUCUGUGCCUGCCAGGCGGCGGGUGAGCUCGCAUCUUCCACAAUGAGAUCAAACAGUCCCAAGUAGGCCAGCUCAGGGGAAGCCGCUGAUGGAGCCAGGUGAGGCCGGGUGAGCCGAGCCCGUGGAGAAUCCCAGCAGGCUUUAACGGAAGGGGAGGCUUUAGGUUUCAACCCUGCAGUAGCUCCUCCUUCCCUUCCUCUCUCUUUAAAGUCAGCUGACCAAGAUUCCCAUGCAGCUCCUCUCGCUGGUGGGGAUUACAGACAUGAAAGGCUUUAGCAUGCGUGUAUGAGAGCGUGGAUUCCUUUUCUCUCUCUCUCUCUCUCUCUCUCUCUCUCUCUCUCUUCUCUUCUCUUCCCAGCUUCAGGAUGCAUACGGUUGCAGAGGCUCAUUAGAGCUGAGAGGUGCUGACAGCCCAGACACAAUAAUCCAGCUCCGCAGUGGAAGCACCACAGUGGCACAGCGCUGCGCCGCAAAGGUUUUUCCCACGUAUGGCGCGAGGGCAAAGCCGGGUGUCCCGCCGCGGUGGAGUUGCUGAACAUCACAGCUACAAGCCGAGGAGAUGGCUGAGGCGUGCUGCGCCGCUCGAAAGCUCUGCUUCAAAUAGUUGUCAUAUUUUCCAUUAGUCAGCUUUACGACUGAAGUAGAGACAGACGGGAGGGAACAAUGUUCAACAAAGAAAGUCAACGCUUUAUAUUUUAUCUGCAACAAGCUGGUGUGAAGGUAGAGGACACAGAGGACACGACAGAAUGAAGACGGAUGAUUCACUGUGGCGUUCCCUGAAGGGACAAGCUGGAAGAGAAGAUGAUCAAAUGUUGCAUCCAAUGUUGUAUGAUGAUGAUUGCCACUCCAUAGUGCAGCCGAAAGACUAAAUAAAUAAACUGUUCAGUGUAAAAAAAAAAAAAAGAAGAAAAAAAAAAAGUUAAUUUCAGACUUGAUAUGAUUAUUUUAAACUGGCUGCUAUUUUGGCGAUAGCGAUUUUGAUCAAUUGAUCAAAAUCAAUCCAAAAUCUGGAAAGAAAUAGCUUAACACCAAUUGGAAAAUGCAAGGCGGAUGCUAACUUUAGUUUUACCAACUAGCAGUUAGCUAGACAUGUUAUUCUCACAACUCUCAUCUGCCAUUCUGUCACCGUUUCAAACUAACUUGAACACUACUGUAACCAAGUGUUUACAGUCAGCCUGUUGAGAAGGCUUUAUUAGCUUACACAACUGGAGUGGGUAGGAACAACUUCCUUUCUUGCUUCAAAAUAAGGGCCUCAAACAAUUGGUGUCCAAAUUCAGGGACACAUUUAACAUAGGGAAGGUCCUUCGUCAACUACACAGGCUGGAACUGGACGGUUAGCCUUUAGGUUUAUUCCUAUCCUUACCUCGUCGUUUGUCUUGUCGCAAAGCAACAGUGAAAGAACUAAAGACAAGCUUUUCAAAAAAAUUUUAUUGAAUUCUUUUACUAAUUAAAUUAAUUGAUUUUUUUUUUUUUUUACAAAAGCCAUACAAUGUUGUAAGUUUUUAAUUUUUGUACCACAAGAUACUAAAAUACUUGUAUUUACAACUCUAGUCUUCCGCUAUGUAUGUAUGUCAUUGGUGCAAGAACAAAAAUCUGCCGACAGUGCAUCUUGGUUCUAGAUAGAAGGAUACACCAGACCCGUCUCUCAAAAAGGAGGACGCAUUUCGAGGAGUUUUUGAAUUUGGUCACAUAGCGGUGAUGUAAUCGGCCUUCGAAGGAUGCGGCCCCUGAAUUUGGACACACCCCACACUGUGGGGCCCACAAUGUCACGUUUAUACUAGCACACACUCUUCACAUUCACAGCUCAAUAAUACUGACUAGUACAUCACUUUAACAAGAAACAUGGUAUUCUAACAUUGUCGGAUCCUGUGUCAUGAACUCCCACAUCUUAGCUCUCAGCGCUGCAUGCCUGCAUAUUUCUCAAUCUCCGGGAUGACAGGCCUUUUGAAAAAGAGUCAGAAUAAGGAAUAGACGGAGACGUUUCUGUGUCUUGUUUUACCCAAAGAGCGUGACAUGUCAUGCUGACGACUUUAUCUUGGUUUCUUUUCCAGAGCACUGUCUCAGGGUAUGAAUGUCAGAGACUACUAGGUCAUCAGUUGAACCCAACACCAUGGCUCCUGGCAAGCAAACAUGCAGCUAAGUGUUUUUUUUUUUUUUUUAGACAAUGGGAGCUUCUAAAGUCCUUACGGGAACUGCUAACUGGUGUGAUAUAAGAUUCAUUUACAAGGAUCCGUGAAAGACACUGUGUCUAUUUAAAACUACCGGCUGCUUGAUAUCAGAGUGCAUCCAUCUUAAAAUACAGUGGCUCCAUUCAUGAGGAAACAGGAUACAGUUGUUUCGGUAUUUUCUCACCUCUCUCUCGCUGUGAUCAGAGCAGCUUGACUACAAGGCAUCUCUCAUUUGCCACAACGUGCAAACAUCUCACAAACGCUGUUUACAGGAAAUAAGUGCUCUGUAACUGGAGUCCGUCAGACUCCUUCCAAAAAAAUAUAUGGAUAAUCCCGUCCUAUCCAUCUCUACCCAACACUACGCUUUUCCUUCUCACCUCCGCAGAAACUGUUGGUAGUCCAUUUCAUGGUGGUCCCAGGUGGGUCUUUAAGAGUCAAAUGUCAAAGGCUGGGCUGCACCCAGACACUUAAUGAAUAUGAAAUGAGUUAGAGGGACUGUGGGAAACAGAGGAGAGCGGUGUGUGCAGGCAGUCAUGGCUCCUCCGUCACGAGGUGGGAGUAGCCUGAGUCACUGAGGGAUGGGCCCGGACAAGAGGAAGAAACUACACACACCAAGGAUAUCCAAUGUUACUCAAGACUGGGCAAGGGCCGUCUACUUAUAUCAUGGUAUAUCAUCUCCUUUAAGUGACAUGCCAGAAAAAGAGAUGGAGUGAUAAGAGAUUUUUCUGCUGGUUAGAGCCUAAGGGAUUGUUGGUCUGUUGUUCUGUUGCCUUCUACCGUAGGAAGUUUGGUACCUGCUUCAACCAGUUUUCCGUUUCCAGCUUAUCGAAUGUCGAGCAGACUGAACAGGCCCAAAUGGGGACCGGUACUAAAAUGAAAAGAAUAUGCAAACACCUGACCACAAUAAAGAAAAGUACAAGGUUAUGUGAUGGUAUGUUUACCAGUGCUGGUAAAAUUAAGACUGAACUGCUAAAUGCAGAUUAUUGGAUGCACCUGGUCAGCUGACUGAAACAAAAUAUUAUCAAUAUUCGAAAAAACACAAUUUAGCAAUGUCGUGUUCCCAUUUAAUAACAAGAGAAAUUUAAAAAUCACAUGUGAAUAAGUUUGUUCACAUGAUAGGUCAUCAAAAAACAUGCCACGCCAUCGUCAUUCAACUAUUUCCUGCCAUCCUCUGAUAUGUGAUG